rnacentral:SRP_RNA from 1 species
UUGCAGGAACCAUGAGGGAAACCGCCGCCCAACCCCGUCAGGUCCGGGGGGAAGCAACGGUAAGCGGUUGGUUUCCACGCCGUGGUCUUCUUGGUGUGA